rnacentral:tRNA from 1 species
AGUAUCUUGGCCGAGCGGUCUAAGGCGUUCGACUCAAGAUCGAAUCUCGAAAGGGGCGUGGGUUCGAAUCCCGCAGAUACUA